GGGAGUAGGCCUCCCGAAGUCGGCUUUCAGGAGCAGGCUUCAAACCGCCCGGUGCUGCUGCGUCCAAAAGGCGUGGUGGUGAGCGACUGUGGAAAAGUCACCCGUCGAGGGUGGCAGGU
rnacentral:ncRNA from 1 species